GACGAGGGGUCCUAGCGUUGUUCGGAAUCACUGGGCGUAAAGCGUAUGUAGGCGGCUUGACAAGUCGGGUGUGAAAUCCCAUGGCUCAACCAUGGAACUGCACUCGAAACUGUCGAGCUUGAGUAUUGGAGAGGAUGACAGAAUUCCUGGUGUAGUGGUGAAAUACGUAGAUAUCAGGAGGAACACCGGUGGCGAAGGCGGUUAUCUGGCCAAAUACUGACGCUGAGAUACGAAAGUGCGGGGAUCAAACAGG
rnacentral:rRNA from 2 species